rnacentral:misc_RNA from 1 species
GAAAUGCGAUAAGUAAUGUGAAUUGCAGAAUUCAGUGAAUCAUCGAAUCUUUGAACGCAUCUUGCGCCCUUUGGUAUUCCGAAGGGCAUGCCUGUUUGAGUGUCAUUAAAUUCUCAACCUUACUAGCUUUGGCUGGUCUGGCUUGGAUGUGGAGGUUUAUGCAGGCUUUUAAUCAAGUCAGCUCCUCUGAAAUGCAUUAGCGGUACCCUAGUGGUUAACAAAAGCUAUUGGCGUGAUAACUAUCUACACCAUUAGUAGUUCCACAACUGCUGCUGUCUAACCGUCUGCUUUGGUGGACAAUUAAUUGACAAACUUGGCCUCAAAUCAGGUAGGACUACCCGCUGAACUUAA